rnacentral:rRNA from 1 species
CACCGGCAGCUCUAGUGGUAACAAUUUUUAUUGGGCCCUAAAGCGUCCGUAACCGGUUUAAUAAGUCUCUGGUGAAAUCCUGCAGCUUAACUGUGGGAAUUGCUGGAGAUACUAUUAGACUUGAGACCGGGAGAGGUUAGAGGUACUCCCAGGGUAGAGGUGAAAUUCUGUAAUCCUGGGAGGACCACCUGUGACGAAGGCGGCUAACUGGAACGAACCUGACGGUGAGGGACGAAAGCUAGGGGCGCGAACCGGAUUAGAUACCCUGGUAGUCCCUGAGCGGGCUGGCAA